rnacentral:misc_RNA from 1 species
UAUAACAUUUUAAAGGCACAAAGGCCUAUAUUACAUUCAAUAACAUACAUUGAGAGUAUAUGAAGAGACAUAGACCUAGGUCUACAAAAGGUGCACAGGUGAGAAGAUAUAAAGAUGACAAGUGUGCACAUGCUCCCUAGAGAACCAGCAGCAACUUAUCAGUUUAUUCAAUAAUGAUCCUUCCGCAGGUUCACCUACGGAAA